CUUUUUUGGACUUCUGCAGUAGCCGUACAGAAGCCCUGACCCUGGCCGAGGCGGUCCUUGUUGUACUGUGGUCACAUUCCUGAGACGAGAAGUUCAAAGGGCACAGCAGGGGUUUUAUGGAGCAUGACGGAAGUGAAUCAUGGACCAGUGUCCUCAGUCUGUCCACCAGUCUGCUCCGGCCGAGGCCCUCAUGCCCAGCUCUCACCCCCAGCCGUGGAGCUCAGAGGCUGGGGUAGACUGACGUCAAGGCCCCUCGUCUCUGUGAAAGGACUUCGUAGUUGCUGUAGAAAAGUGAACUGUGCAUCAUAUGGCUGCAGUUUGGGAAGGAAAACACUGGAGCCCUGAAAAAAGAGAAGAAAGAGAGGAAAUAUAUGGGACUGGCUACAGCUGCAAGGCUAUGGUUGGACUGAAGAGAGUUUUCUGAACAUUUUUUUCAUGUUGAGAGAUUUUAUUUUUAAUAAACAAAAGCUAAACAAAAAACA
rnacentral:lncRNA from 1 species